rnacentral:lncRNA from 1 species
AACCAGAGUGAUAGAGUAAACGCAGAGGCAUUGUUUGGCUCGAGAAUAAGGGGGGAAUAAGUACUUGUUCGUAUUUUUGUUCCCGUUUGAUAUCCGAGAACAGUAGUUCUUAAGUUUUUGAAAUAAAGCUGUAACUGCUGUUCCACUUUUUUUUCUGAAACAAUCUUGUUCCCAAAUAGGAACAACGUUAAUUAAAAUCUAAAUUUAAAUUUAAUUAUGAUAUUAAACCAUUAAUUAAUCUAACUAAUAUAUUUAAAUCAUUAUUUGUUAUUUAAAUAAUAAAAUAAUUAAUUAAUUUAUUAUUUAUAAUUAAUUAUUAAUAAUUUAAUGUAUUUGUUUAUAAACUAAUAUUUAUAUUGAUCCACCAUUAAUAUUUUAUUAAUCUAAUUAAUUUUUUUUUUACUAGUUAUAUAGCUAAAAUAAUUUACUACCUAAUUAAAAAGUUAAAUUAUUUUUAUAAUAAUUAAUUAAUUAAUAUAUUUUUAUUAUCUUNCUAAAAUAAUUUACUAACCAUCCAAAUACUAUUUAUCUUAUUUUUAGGAGUAACUUAAUUUUCAUCCAAACGCAAAAUUGGUUUAGUUACUAUUUAUCUUAUUUUUAGGAGUAACUCAAUUUUCAUCCAAACGCAAAAUUAGUUUAGUUAAUGUUUAUAUUUAUUACUGAAAUAAAAAAUUCUUACUUAAAUCCGAACCAAAUGUAACCAGAUGGAAUUAAAUAUUAAUAAUUUUGCCCUAUUAGGUUGCAAAACGCCCACAAGUGAGAAAGAGCGACCAACUAGCGAAAACUUUAAAAGUUAGGAAAGCAAAGCUACCAAGAAUAUAAAAGGGUAAUUUUAUAGAGAUAUAAUAACAGGGUUUUUUUUUUGUGACCAAGUUUGUAGAAUUUUUUAAUUUUAAGAAUAGGCAUAUGAUAGUUUUAUUUAUAAAACAAGAUUUAAGCGGUGAAUGAUUUAUAAUAUUUAGAAAGCGAUAAAUUUUUUUUAGCGCUUUUACUAAAUUUAUAUUAUUUUUAUAUCUGAAUUUUGAAAGAUGUAUAAUAUUAGAUCUUAAAAGUAAUUGCAAUAUUAGAACUAAUUACUGGUAGAAUGUAUCGGUUCAUUAUAUUUUUUUUUACUUUUAUUGUUUUGUUGAGAAUUUGUAUCUGCAAGCUAUCCUAGAUUAAAAUAAAUAAAUUAAAUCUUUGUAAUGUCUACGUGGCGUUCUAUAAUUUUUAGGAUUAAUUACAUACGGGUUCAUGCAAACAUAGUAAAUUAUAAAUAUAUUCAUACAUAGUUUAACUUUCAUAUGUUGUUUCUAUAAAAGUACUGAUAUUUUCAAAUAUGUCCCGACCGUUAGAAAUUGUUAGAAAAAUAUAAUUAAUAAUAGAUUAAAUAUUUAAUAAUAGUUAGCUAAUGAGAUGAAUUGAUUUUUUUAUCCCUCUUCAAUUAACAGUUGAAAUUUUUGAAGGGACAUAUUUGUGAUGAUAAAAAAGUCAUUUCACUUAUAAAAUAGAUAUUACUUUAAUGGUAACAAAUCAGAAGAACAUAUUUGAAAAUAUAAGAAAUUUUAUAGGAAUAAUAUAUAAAAGUUGAACUUUGUAGAGAUAUAUUUAUAAUUUACUAUAUUUAAAGGGAUCUGUAUGAAGUUAACCUAAUUUUUUAAUACUUAUUUGGAUUGUUUGGUAUCCUAG